rnacentral:rRNA from 1 species
AACGAACGCUGGCGGCAUGCCUAACACAUGCAAGUCGAACGAGACCUUCGGGUCUAGUUGCGCACGGGUGCGUAACGCGUGGGAACCUGCCCUUAGGUUCGGAAUAACUCCCCGAAAGGGGUGCUAAUACCGGUUAAUGUCUUCGGACCAAAGAUUUAUCGCCUUUGGAUGGGCCCGCGUUGGAUUAGCUAGUUGGUAGGGUAAAAGCCUACCAAGGCGACGAUCCAUAGCUGGUCUGAGAGGAUGAUCAGCCACACUGGGACUGAGACACGGCUCAGACUGCUACGGGAGGCAGCAGUGGGGAAUAUUGGACAGUGGGCGAAAGCCUGAUCCAGCAAUGCCGCGUGAGUGAUGAAGGCCUUAGGGUUGUAAAGCUCUUUUACCCGGGAUGAUAAGGACAGUACCGGGAGAAUAAGCUCCGGCUAACUCCGU